rnacentral:lncRNA from 1 species
AUGGGGCUGGCUGCUUCCCGAGGGAUGGGGGUGUCUAAAAAACGGUGCCAGGCCGGCCAGGCUGAGCAGGCUGGUCCGCCGCCGCAGCAGCUCAGGUGGGCAUCCCGGGGAAGCUGGCCACACCGGCCUGGCCAUUGUCCGCGGCCACCGGCCUGCCUGCCUGCCCUCCGGGGCCGGGCCCGAGGAGGGCAGAGUCUGAGGCACCUUCAGGCCUCAGGAGCCCUGUGCCCACAGGGGCGCCACCGCCUCCUGUCCCGUCUGGCUCUGGUCCCAGCACUGCGGGCCUCUGCCUGGCCGCCGUCCGAGCGCCCUGAGGCCUGGGCGCGGGCCUCGCCCGCCGCCCGCGAGUGUGUCUGUGCCCGUCCGGCAGGAGCGGGCAGAGCAGCGUCCCUCCUCUGUGGCCCGGUGCAUGGCCGCUGCCCGGCCGCUCAGACCUCGGUCUGGAGGUCGAUGAUGUCCUGGCCCACCAGCGGGAUGGUGGCUCCCGACUUCUCCCACUCCACGCUCCGCAGCUCCAGCGGCGACGGCGGCGGCGGCUCCAGCUCCUUCCUCGCCCACGCGGGUGUCCCGUGCGCUUUCCGGAGGCUCUCCCAGGGCCGCUUGUUGGGCGUCUGCUGCUUUUCUGGCUGCUGGCCGGCGGGCGGUGGAGGCGGUGGGGCCCGAGACGAUGCCGAGCAGGUGGGGAGUGGAGACAAGGAGGCAGACAGUGAGAAAGGCAGGUGUGGGCGGCAGGGAGACCCCAGCCCAGAGAGGGAAGUGCAGGAGCAGAGCCCUUCCCAGACCGCACGAGGGUUAAGGCCCCCCACCACUGGGCAAGAGUGGUGGGGGGCUGCAGGGAAGGGCAGCUGGAAGCCCCUGCCGGCUCAGGGCCUCUCGCUUGGCUGUCGCCCUCCUCUGGGAGGCAGCCUUGCCCCGGCUCCCCCAGCCCAGUGCACCACCUGUGCUUCCAGACGGGGCCCCUGGGACAGACCCGUCUGCCUGCCCUGUUCCUCUGGGUAUGUAGAAUGGGCUGGGUCAGGCCAGCCCUCCCAAAAAGUUGAACGAAUGAAUGAAUGA